rnacentral:rRNA from 1 species
GAGGCCUAACACAUGCAAGUCGAACGAACUCUUCGGAGUUAGUGGCAGACGGGUGAGUAACGCGUGGGAACCUACCUUUAGGUACGGAACAACAGUUGGAAACGACUGCUAAUACCGUAUGUGCCCUAUGGGGGAAAGAUUUAUCGCCUAAGGAUGGGCCCGCGUUGGAUUAGCUAGUUGGUGGGGUAAUGGCUUACCAAGGCGACGAUCCAUAGCUGGUCUGAGAGGAUGAUCAGCCACACUGGGACUGAGACACGGCCCAGACUCCUACGGGAGGCAGCAGUGGGGAAUAUUGGACAAUGGGGGCAACCCUGAUCCAGCCAUGCCGCGUGAGUGAUGAAGGCCCUAGGGUUGUAAAGCUCUUUCAGCGAGGAGGAUAAUGACGUUACUCGCAGAAGAAGCCCCGGCUAACUUCGUGCCAGCAGCCGCGGUAAUACGAAGGGGGCUAGCGUUGUUCGGAAUCACUGGGCGUAAAGCGCACGUAGGCGGACUGAUUAGUCAGGGGUGAAAUCCCGGGGCUCAACCCCGGAACUGCCUUUGAUACUGUCAGUCUUGAGUCCGAGAGAGGUGAGUGGAACUCCGAGUGUAGAGGUGAAAUU